AGAGGACGGAAAGAGAAACAGGAGAAGAACAGAGGGAGGGAGAGAGGGAUGGGCUUCACUACAGGAUGUUGGAGGGCACAAAAGAGAAAACAGAUUGUGCCAGAGAGACAGAAACUGAGAGAGAGAGAGAGAGAGAAAGAAGAAAAAAGCAAAGAAAACAGCUGCUCUCAAUAACUGCAUCCAGAGCCGGAGAGAACACUGGCUGCAUCUCAAUCAGCUCCCUUGUUCACUACUGUUCAUCAGUUCCCCUAUAGCGCAUGUGUUUGGAC